rnacentral:rRNA from 1 species
UACGGAGGAUCCAAGCGUUGUCCGGAUUUAUUGGGUUUAAAGGGUGCGUAGGCGGCUUUGUAAGUCAGUGGUGAAAUAUGGCAGCUCAACUGUCAGGGUGCCAUUGAUACUGCGGAGCUUGAGUACAGAUGAGGUAGGCGGAAUUGACGGUGUAGCGGUGAAAUGCUUAGAUAUCGUCAAGAACACCGAUAGCGAAGGCAGCUUACUAGGCUGUAACUGACGCUGAGGCACGAAAGUGUGGGGAUCAAACAGG